AAUUUUUCGUAAACAAAAUUUAAUACAACCAUAUAGUCAAGUAAUAAUGGUUAAAAGACAUUUUAUUAGAUACAACUUUUAAAAAAUUAAACUAUGCAAGAAGUAUAUUUAAACAAAACAUGUAAGUAAGUAUUCACGUGCUACAACUUAACUAAGAACAAUUAAAUACAAAGCAUUCUUUCCACUAUGAAGACUCUGGAGCCUCUAAUUGAAAGCAAAUGACCUUAGGUCUAUACUAGUUGUAAAGCAGAUUAUACUUUUGUUCAACUCUAAAUUUGUAUUGUCUUAGAGCUCCAACAACUCUCAAUAAAAAUUUAAAUAAAGAAACCUUGGGGGAGGGGUGAUAGGGAAGGGGAGAGUAAGUGCUUUUUCAAAAAGGUAAAUGAAAAAGCCUGAAGAGGGAAAAAAUUGUACAUAAGUAUGGAACAAAAAUAAGUAUACUUUUUUGACAUUCGAUGUAGAUACUGCAAAUGAAUUUACACGGGUUUAAUCAAUGUAAGAUAGAUAUUUGUCUGAAUAUUUUAAAAAGCACCUAGGUAUCAAAAAAUAAAAACAAAAAAUAUAAUGAAACUCCAAACAUCCAACAAUCUCCCUUAACAUUCUCAUUCUGCCAAGCAACCACACGUUGGUGCUUAUUACACAAUUUAAGAAGGGGAAGUUUAUUUACUCUAUAGGAAACAAAUAUGAACCUUAUCUAAGGUAAGCUUCAUUUAGAUUGAAAAAAAAGUUGAAAUAGCACUAGAGAACUUAAGGCACAUAAACAAAUUCAGGUGCAGUUAUUUUGAAACCAUUAAAACAAAUUCUUUUCUUUGGAACAAUAUAUAAAAUAAGUUAUGAAUGUUGCUGUUUUUAUCAGCACUAGGAAAAUUUAAUAUCUAAGGCAAUCACACAAAUGUAAAAUGUUCAUAUAAAACAUUAAAAAAUGUCUAAAGUGUCUCUGGAAUUAUUCAUUCACACUCCUGGCUCAAAUGGUUUCUGGUGCCUAGCAUUAGAUGUGACAAUAAUGAUAGCUAGCUAGUCAAACCUACUGCCUUAAAGAUCAACCAAUUUGCUCCAUUCUGGUUACUUGGCAUGGUAAAUUUAUUUAACUAAAAAGAAUAAUGGGGUGAGGUGAUGUAAACCUGGCUUUCAAUAAGAUGCACAACAAAUUCUAAUAAGGCCAAAACUCUGUUGAGGUUAACUGGUGUCUUGAGUUUACUAAAAUAAAGGCAGUCCAUAGGAAGCCUCAAAGAGACAUUAUCUUACCACUUGGCACCACAAAAACACCAAGCUCUCCUCUCUGAAAAUACAGGCCGGGGGUGGUGGCUCACGCCUGUAAUCCCAGCACUUUGGGAGGCCGAGGUGGGCGGAUCACGUGGUCAGGAGUGAUCCGUCUCUACUAAACCCCGUCUCUACUAAAAAUACAAAAAAAUUAGCCGGGUGUGGUGGCACGCACCUGUGGUCUCAGCUACUCGGGAGGCUGAGGCAGAAUCCCUUGAACCCGGGAGGUGGAGGUUGCAGUCAGCUGAGAUCGCGCCACUGCACUCCAGCCUGGGCGACAGAGCAAGACCCCGUUCUCCCCCCUUCCCCAAAAAAAAAAAAAAACGAAAAAAAUACAGUUUGAAGUAGAUGUCGUCUUUUCCACAUAUAAAUCUCAAGACAUAAAAGGCACACACAAUUCAACUCCUCUCUUUUCAUAUAUGGGUUCUCACAGCAAUUUAAAAAAUCUAUUGCCAUAUCCAGACAACAGGAGAAAAAAAAAAUACCUGGUUUGCUUAUUGACAAAAGUGGUGUAAUCAUCUUAUCACCUGGUUUAAAUGGAGUAAAUACCUAUAUUUCAAUCAUCUAGGAAAUAAAAAGGUUACUGAAGAUCCAAUACACUAGUAUUUCAUACCUGUGCAGUAAAGUCAGUGGGAAGAUUACAGUAGAAAAGGAGGAAGUUCUACUGUUGUAAAAAUUAGACCACUUUUGUAGCUGACUCACAUAGAGGAAAAACAGAAAAUGAUUAAAGUUCAUGAAAAAAAAACUAUACUUUUCUGUUCUACAAAGCAUACCUUUGAAUUCCCUUUCCAACUGAGGUAUCACAGCUGGGUUUAGCAAACUCAUCUCUUCUGACCUUGUAAAACUAAAUUGUCAUAAAGAUUCUGAUUAUACAUAAGUCAUCGUUACUAAUACUCAUCAUGUACUUUCAAAUGUAAAAAGUUCUAGAAAUGCCCAAAUAAAAAAAAAUUCCAGAAUUGAAUUUAGCAUGGUCAACUAAUUUUUACUUUAUGUGCUUUUUUGCUGAUCAUCACAGACUGCUAAAAUUCAUGGUGUUUGGUAUAUAUGUGUGUAUACAACCAUACUAUCUACAUACAUACACAUGUACAUAUAUAGAUUCUAAACCAAAGGUUCAUAUGAGCAUCACCUAUCAAAAGAAAAAUCUUUAUGUGAUGAGAGAAUGAAUACAAUCUGACACCAAUUUGGUUGAUAUACCCCUUUUGAUAUAUUAAUUCUACUCUAAAAUUCUUUUUUAUUUUAUCAAGUCUAAUGCUAUUAUUUAUCAAGAAUUAGUAAAGGAAGAUAAAUAUUAAAAAAUUAAAAUAUUAAGUUGGGUAACUUUAAAAAUAGUUAUUUAAAUUUUCUAAGAUUCAACCUAAGUUCUUGGUGGCCUUCAAUAUAAAUUUUAAGUACUUAAUUUAUGUAGUUUUAAAUUAUGUAGAGAAAAAAUUAAUAUUGGUGUGAGGUCUGUGUUUAAAAAAAUUCUGUUUUUCAGGAUUUCAUUUCAAAUUUACUAUAAUAAACACAUGGAUAUUAAAAUAAAUGUAUAACAAAAUAAAAGUAAAUAGUUAAUACUUUUUACAACAGAAAAAUACUAGAAUAUAAAGUUGUCUUGAGAAAGUCUUUUUUUAUGUGAAGUCCUAUAUUCAUGAAAUGGACAUGAUCUUACAAAUACACAUGAAAAUAACAACUAUCAUUUGUAGAAUCCUCAGCAUUUACAAAAUACUUUUUCACACAUUAUCUCAUUUACUGUAAAGAAUUUCUUAACUAAAUAAUUCUAUUAUCUAUAAGAGUAUAAUGCAGAUGUUUACUCUAAAAUUAAAGUACAAGUAUCCAAACUGUACCUACAUUCUUUCAACUAAGAGGAUAGAAAAUUGUUUUCUGAAUUGUUGUUAUCACAAAAUGGUAUCUAUCAUUUUAAAAUUAUGAUUUGAAAAAUAAAAAUUCCCUAAAAAUUUUUAAGUUUUUUAGAGUUUUCCUCAGAAUGUAGAUUCUAGCUAAGCAUUAAAGUUUAAAAAAUGUCUAUCUGAAAUCUCUGAAUCAUUCUAAAAUGAGAAAACAAUGUAGCUUACCAAUGUUAGGCUUUUUAUUUCAACCUUGGUUUUAACAGAAAUCUGGUGACACUUUAAUUACAUAU
rnacentral:lncRNA from 1 species